ensembl:lncRNA
GCAAUCCGUACUUCAACACAACUUUCGUUUUGAUCAUGGUUGAAAGUGUCAAAAGUGCAGUAAGGAGACCGAAGUGACUUGAUUCCUUUGUUAAAUACAAAAUUGUGUGCAUGUUGGCGAUGUUUUUUAAUUGCCGUGUAUGAAUGGCAUGGCAGUGUACUCUCGGACUAGCUGCAAACUUCAGCACAAGGGCAACUAGCACUCGUUCUCCCGAGGAGGCCUUCCUAUAACAGUAUAGUACAUAUUAGUGAUCAAGUACAAUAGAGUCGGUGGAUGCUUCUCAUGUAAUACUUGAAAAUGGAAAAUAUUAUGACCAAUGUUUUCAUUGCUGGGCUCCCAGCGUGUGCCAUAUAUUUUCUUUACACCAACAUUUAUUGCUCUUAUAAACUACUGAAAGCUAAUGUGGUGUUUGACAGUUGUCAGAGCAUUCCAAGUUUUGCCUACCUUUUUCUCAGAUAUGUAUUCAGAGCUCUUAUCAAAAGACAGGGGCAUUUGUACUUUUGCGAUAGAGAUGUCGAAGGUGAAGUUUCCUUCACCAUCUUUAACUGCAGGUAAACUGAUUGCGCUUGACAAUGUAGCAGUCCAAUUUGUUUUAGUGCUAUGGUUUGAUUUUAUUAUAAUAAUUUCAAACAACACUGCCUUACAAAGAUGGUUGUUUAUUUGUUCACAUUUGGACCAAUUAUCUCCUAUGUGCUGUACUUUUUUUCUCUCUAAGGUUCAACAAGGAUCUACUGAGGAGGUUCUGUAGUGCAGCUGGAUAUGGCUGGGACUACCCAGACAUUGAGUUCAGGGAUAUCCUCUGUGUUACCCAGACACCCUCUGUCUGCGGAUGCUUGACAUAUUAAUAUCUGCUGAGAAGUUCAGAUUGAGCCCUCUGGGUAAGUAACACCUCUUCUGCUGGCUGGGUAUUGCAUGUCUUUGAAGGCCAUCCAAAUGUCAACACUCAAGGUACUCAGUUUUCUUCCUACAUUUCUGUAGAAUAUAUUAAUUCAAUUCAGCCAGAUGUGUAGUUCAUACAAAAUCCCCCCACUUCAAUACAUUGUUUCCUUAGGUCUAGUCCGGGUACGUCAGAGUUUGAGAACAUGGCAGCCAAUAGAUGAGCUGAAGAAGGGACCCUUCAAGUUGCAGGCUCGUGUGUUAGAGUACAGGGUUGUUGAAGAUGGGGUGGAAGUUGACAUUUCUUUAACUGCCAUUUCACACACUGACCAGCCAGUAUGGGAGAGUGUUUUGACAAUGCUCUCCCAGGACAGAGGCCGAACACCAAACACACAACCUAAAACUGAGUGGUAUGAUGGUCACAUGGACACAUCAGAGCCAGAUGACGUGAAGGCGGUAGAUAUCAAUGUUCCCUGGACUACAGGACUGAAGUUUGUGUGGGCUUUCUCUGACUACUCUCCACGUUGUCUCCUAACUCUUCCUGCUAAACUCUUGGGCUGCAGAUGUACCCCAACUCCUAGUCUAUGGAUGCUGUCUAAAUGUUUGGCUGAAAUUGAAAAGCACAAAGGAGUUGAUGCCAUUAGAGCCCCCAUCUCUGUCACCGCCCAGUUCAAGGAACCAUUGUUGGUACCAGGAAAAGUGACCAUCAAAUUUUGUGAGAGUGCGGGAGUGCAGUCCAAAUGUGUUAGCUUCCAAAUGGAGCAAUACGAGAGGAAGAUACCUCACAUUACGGGACAGAUCUGCAGGAUUACUGUAGAGGAUGUGAAUUAAAGAUGAAAACGGCGCCAAUGGCCACACCAGCACCGUUAUUGUUUUUGUUGCAGAGAUGAGGAGCAUCACGUAGCAUGGUAAAAAAAAAAAAAAAAUGCAGUACUCUUCUAUGAUGUGUUAAAUGAUGUCAGAGUUGAAAAAACUGUUUGUUGUUUGCAGUAACUUCUUUGUUGUAAUAUCGCAAAUGGUGUGGCUGCUUCACCAAUAAGGAUUCCAGCUUUAAGAUGAUCAGUUAUGACAUGACAUUCUAUAAAUAUCAGGUAGAUGAAAGUCAUAAUAAUAAGGGAUGAUUGUGUAAUUAUUAGUGGAAUGACAUCUCAUCUUUGCCAUUAUGUGGCAUCCUAGUCAGUGCGGCAUAGGCUUCAUGGCCCAGCAGGUGAUUUACACAAAUGUAUCUUCAAUCCAAAGUACCCCAAUACUGCUACCCUCUAGAGUAGAUAUUUACAUCAAACAAGAACUGCAGUCUUAAGGCAUUUUCUGUGUCCUCUACAACUCUAAUGUUACUAUGUCCACAGAAGCACCAUAAGCUACAGUUGAUGCAGACAAG